UCUAGUUGUAUCUGCUUUGAGCAGGAAUUGGACUACAUGACUUCAAGAAGUCCCUUGCAACCUAAAUUAUCCAAUGUUCCUAUUUUUAUUUUUCCUUUUUUUGGACACCCAUUCCUGAACUUCAGGCAUUUCAAUUACUUUCAGUUACUUUCAAGAUCUAAGCAAAUAUCAACCUUUCUUUCCCUUUUCAGAAAGAUGGAACAACUUCAGAUUCCACUCCAGUCCAUAGAAAGCAAUGACAGAUUGAAAACAAGGAUGGGUCUGCUGUUUUUUACAGGGCAGGAAGACUGGAAGCCCUAGGAAGUUUGGACCUUACACUGACAGCUGCACUGAGAAAGACUCCGAUAAAGAAAAGGAAGGGAAUUAACAGCCAGUGGACACUCACAAUCAGCCUGAUGUUCUUGCCCAUCUUUUUGCAGGUCUGUUCACUAGAGAGU